UGAGCUGUCUUGUUUGUUUUUUCCUGGUGUGAAGCCUUUAGAGGACAUUAACCUUUAGCGUUACCUCUCCCGGUAGGAAUAAGCAACAUUGUCUCCCUUGGGGGACUUGUUGGUUUGUUGUUUUAAAUUUUUGUGCAUCAACGCGAUCUGAAAUUUUGCCUGUCUUGGGUACACGUCCAUGACUGUCUAGUGCACGGUGAGGUGACUAUGGGAGUCCAGCCUGCUUUACCCAUGCAAGGAGUGUCAUUUUGUGGAAUGACCUGGCUGGUGGGAGAGUAUGGCCUGAGGUACCUCCUUCACUAGUGGUUUCAUCCAUACCAGUGGUAAGUAAAAUUGCAGAACUUGAGGGGAACUUAACUGAUGUACUUCUGGCCUGUGCAGUAACCUGUGCUCAGACCUGUAAAGCACAGGAGGUUAAAGUUAAUUUGGAGGAUGCAGCUGUUUCAUUGGCUGUUCUUCCAUCUGUUUCUCACUGCAACAAGAUCCCUCCUUACAGGAACUCCUGUCUCAGGUUCACCCGGCAAGUGAAAUGACCAGUGCAGCACAUGGGUAUUUCCUACAAGAGUGGGUGUUGGUAAGAAAAUGUUGCCUCAAGGUGAAAGUUUUGCUGGAGAGGCAAUAUUUCAAAUUGUGAUACCACACAAGCUGAGAGAAGGUGUGCUGCAAACAGCACUUGAAGUCUAAGGGUGGAAGUUUGUAUCUGUUGACAGUGAUGUCAGUCCACACGGUCCUGAUGCAUAUCCUUUGGCUAAAUCUGUGGUUAAGGCUUUGAGUCAGUUUAUUUCUAUCUUUGGCAUUCCUAAAGUUAUUCAGACUGACCAGGGCACAAAUUUCCCUUCACAGAUAUUUGAGAUUUUGAAUCAACUCCAUGUGAAACAUGCGACCUCUAGUGCUUACCAUCCACAGAGCCAGGGGACUCUUGACAGGUUUCAUCAAACCCUGAAAUCUUCGAUCCUACUGCACUGAGUUGAACCAUGACUGGCAAGGUUUACCUUGGCAGUUGUUGGCUGCCAGGGAAGUUGUCCAAUCCAGUACUGGUUUCAGUCAAAAUGAUCUAGUUUUUGGACACAAUGUCCGAGGCCCACUGGCAGUACUACAGGGGGAUUGGGAACUACCUGAUUCCCCCUAUACCCCUGUUGGGUUAUGUAAAUGGUUUCAAGUGACGGCUCUUUGAAGCGUGUAGAAUGGCCAGAACAAAAUUUGAGUCUUCUCAGAAGAAAAUGGAACGGUUAUGACAGACGACCAGAAUUUUUUUUUUUUGCCCUGGUGACCAAGUGUUAGCCCAGUUGCCUUUGGUUUCAUCCCCUUUUCAGGCCAAAUUUGUGGGGCCCUAUUAUGUGCUACAGAAAGUGUCAGAUCAGAACUAUGUAUUAUCUACCCCAGAUAGAAGGAUGGCUACCCAAAUGUGUCAUGUAAACCUGUUAAUGCCUUACUUUUCUUGUGCUGCUUCAGGAACUGGAUUCAGGGUGCAAGCGGUCACUAUGGCAGUUCCUCGUGGCGCAGCCAGCUCUAAUCUUCCAGAAGCCAAACUUGAUGAACUUGAGGUCACUGACUGUAUGACGCAAGGUCGGUUGAAAAAGUGUCUGGGUAAACUUGACAUUGAGCUGCACCUAUAAAACAGAACUUCUCUUGAGAAACGUGAGCAGUUAGAGUCAGAGGUUAAAUACAUGCUAGAGAAUGGCAUUGCAGUACCCUCACGUUCUAGCUGGGCCUCACCAUGUCUGUUAGUCAGUAAGCCAGACAGGACUUUUAGAUCUUGUACUUACUUCUGUAAAGUGAAUGCCAUAACCAAGCCAGACAGUUUUCCCCUUCCUCGGAUGGAGGUUUGCAUGGAUCAAGUUGGUUCAGCUAAGCUGAAUAAAUUUGAUCUCAAAGGUUACUGGCAAGUCCCACUGACACCACGGGCUCAGGAAAUUGCAUCCUUCAUUACACCUACAGGGUUGUACUCUUACACAGUCACGCCAUUUGGGUUGAGAAAUGCACCUGCCACCUUCUAACGUUUAAUAAACCGGGUAGUUUCUGGUUUACAGAGGUGUGCCGUCUAUCUAGAUGAUGUGGUGGUAUAUAGCGACACAUGGCCAGAACAUUUGCAGAAUAUUCAGGCCCUGUUUGAUCGCCUGGCCUGGGCUAACCUCACUGUGAAUUUGGCAAAGUGAGUUUGCCAAGGCCACAGUGACAUAUCUGGGUAAGGUGGUUGGGCAGGGUGAAGUGCGACCUGAAAUGGCAAAAGUUAUGGCCAUUGAGAAGUUUCCUCCUCCCAGUACAAAGAAAGAGCUCACCCGAUUUCUUGGGAUGGUAGGUUAUUACCAAGGAUUCUGUGAAAAUAUCUCGGAAGUAGUUGCUCCUUUGACUGACCUCGUGAGUCCGAAAGUCAAGUUUCAUUGGUCAGACCGUUGUCAGAAAGCUUUUGAUUAUGUUAAAGCUCUCCUUUCUUGUGCUCCAGUGCUUGCAGCCCCAAAUCUAAAGGAACAGUUUCACAUCAAAGUGGAUGCCAGCAAUAUUGGUGCCGGGGCUGUGUUGCUGCAAACAGAUGCAUCUGGUAUUGAGAGGCCAGUUAUUUCUCGCGCAAGUUUAACUCCUACCACUUGAACUCCUACCAGUUGAACUACUCAGUUGUAGAGAAGGAGGCACUUGCGUUGAUUUGGGCUCUACAGCACUUUGAAAUGUACAUAGGUAAUGGGUGUAGGCCUCUAGUUGUGUACACGGAUCGCAAUCCUCUCACCUUCCUACAUUCGUUACAGAAUCCAAACCAGCGUUUGUUGAGAUGGUGUCUGUUCUCACAGCCUUUCCAUCUUGAUGUUCAGCACAUUAAAGGUUCUGAAAAUGUUAUGGCUGAUGCAUUGUCUAGAUCAUUAAUAUAAAAUGGUUAUGUUCCUCUUCUCAUCUGUUUCCAGUGUUCUUCUCCUAUCUCUUAAAUUGCUUCUAAGGUACCAAGUUGCUGAGUGGGAGUUGGUAAACAGGACUUAUGCGGAUAAGGUAAUUGUAACAUCCAGAGACGCCAUUUUUCAGGUGAUCUAUCCUGAAAAUUUUAUGUUGUAACUUUAAGAUUUGAAUGUAAUUACCACUCCAUAAAAACCUUUUUUUUUUAGGGGGUGGGGGUGGGGGUGGGGGGGUGAAAACCCUGGGGUUGUCUGUUGUGUUGUGCUGUUUUGGUGUUUGAGUUCCAGGCUGUUUAUGGGCGGAGCCAAGGCCAGGGUCGUCAGGAGAUGUGGCUCACCUGUUCAGCCUGGUUGAGAUGUAUUUAAGAUGGCUGCCAACUCUGCCUGCUCUUUUGAUUCCCACGGCACCAUGCACCACCCCUGGGACACGCCAGCUCUUCAGUUUUGAUUAAUUUAGCUUUUCUUUUUGCACUCACUACAUUUUACACUCACCCAUACACUCAUGACACUCCUGAUAAUACUGAUUUUCACAUUUGCCUUGAAGUUUGUCUAGUUGGUACAAUAAAACCAUUAAGCUUA